UUCAGAAUGACUGUGUUACCUUCACUAAAUUUUCCUGAACGUGGAACUAACUUGAAACACCAGCUCAGCUGUUAAGACAGACAGGUUCAAAAACAGUUUCGAGUCUUCCAAGUGUGAAGUUUGUAUAUUACAACUGUCUUCACCAUUUAAGAAAAUUUCCUUCAGAUAAAAAUUUAAAAUUAUCACUAUCAAGGUCAUUUAAAAUUCUAACAAUACUAAAAGUAGAAAAGACCUCCCUGAAGGAAACACAAAGUGAAUACUUUGAUAUGGAAAAAAAAAUCUCAGGAAAUUUGUCAUUUUUGUAAGAUGCUGAUCUCCUGAAUAUUUCUCCAAGCUACCCAGACAUAUGUCUGAUCUAAAUAAGGAGGCCGCUUCAGAAAUUCUUCACAAACACCCCAAGAAGUCAUAAAAUGAGGGUCCGUGACCUUUGUCUUUGCAAACAAAAUGUUUAAAUCUUCCCACUGAUCAAAGAAAGAAAAUCUCAUUAAAAAUAGUUUCAGAGAGAUUGGAACAGGAAG